UACGUAGGGUGCGAGCGUUGUCCGGAAUUAUUGGGCGUAAAGAGCUCGUAGGCGGUUUGUCGCGUCUGCCGUGAAAGUCCGGGGCUCAACUCCGGAUCUGCGGUGGGUACGGGCAGACUAGAGUGAUGUAGGGGAGACUGGAAUUCCUGGUGUAGCGGUGGAAUGCGCAGAUAUCAGGAGGAACACCGAUGGCGAAGGCAGGUCUCUGGGCAUUAACUGACGCUGAGGAGCGAAAGCAUGGGGAGCGAACAGG
rnacentral:rRNA from 1 species